rnacentral:rRNA from 1 species
AAUUCUUCCGGCCAAAUGGGGGCCAUCCUGACCGAAGCAUCGGCGCGUGGAGUGAAGAAAGGGUUUUCGGAUCGUAAAGCUCUGUUGUAAGUCAAGAACGGGGUGUGGAGAGUGGAAAGUUCACACUGUGACGGUAGCUUACCCAGAAAGGGACGGCUAACUACGUGCCAGCAGCCGCGGUAAUACGUAGGUCCCGAGCGUUGUCCGGAUUUAUUGGGCGUAAAGCGAGCGCAGGCGGUUUGAUAAGUCUGAAGUUAAAGGCUGUGGCUCAACCAUAGUUCGCUUUGGAAACUGUCAAACUUGAGUGCAGAAGGGGAGAGUGGAAUUCCAUGUGUAGCGGUGAAAUGCGUAGAUAUAUGGAGGAACACCGGUGGCGAAAGCGGCUCUCUGGUCUGUAACUGACGCUGAGGCUCGAAAGCGUGGGGAGCGAACAGGAUUAGAUACCCUGGUAGUCCACGCCGUAAACGAUGAGUGCUAGGUGUUGGAUCCUUUCCGGGAUUCAGUGCCGCAGCUAACGCAUUAAGCACUCCGCCUGGGGAGUACGACCGCAAGGUUGAAACUCAAAGGAAUUGACGGGGGCCCGCACAAGCGGUGGAGCAUGUGGUUUAAUUCGAAGCAACGCGAAGAACCUUACCAGGUCUUGACAUCCCGAUGCUAUUUCUAGAGAUAGAAAGUUACUUCGGUACAUCGGUGACAGGUGGUGCAUGGUUGUCGUCAGCUCGUGUCGUGAGAUGUUGGGUUAAGUCCCGCAACGAGCGCAACCCCUAUUGUUAGUUGCCAUCAUUCAGUUGGGCACUCUAGCGAGACUGCCGGUAAUAAACCGGAGGAAGGUGGGGAUGACGUCAAAUCAUCAUGCCCCUUAUGACCUGGGCUACACACGUGCUACAAUGGUUGGUACAACGAGUUGCGAGUCGGUGACGGCGAGCUAAUCUCUUAAAGCCAAUCUCAGUUCGGAUUGUAGGCUGCAACUCGCCUACAUGAAGUCGGAAUCGCUAGUAAUCGCGGAUCAGCACGCCGCGGUGAAUACGUUCCCGGGCCUUGUACACACCGCCCGUCACACCACGAGAGUUUGUAACACCCGAAGUCGGUGAGGUAACCUUUUGGAGCCAGCCGCCUAAGGUGGGACAGAUGAUUGGGGUGAAGUCGAACAAGAUGCU